rnacentral:lncRNA from 1 species
GGCCACUUCCUUUCUCGGCAGCGCCGUAGAGCGCGAGCAGACGGUGCAGCAUGGCGCACAGCGGAGGCCGCGGGCGGCCGAACCCGGCGUGUCCUUGGGCGUUUCCAGGUGCAACAAAACCUGCUCAUUUGAAGGUGCUUGAACAAAUAUUUUCUAAACACUUGUCAUGGAGAGUGAUUGAAACAAGCUGCCAGGACUACAUUUGCCAAUAACAAGCAUGUAGGUGGCUGUAGUGGAUGUCCAACUUUGGGAGCUGUGAUGUCUAAAAACCCUUUAUUGUUUUGGGGUGCAGCUUACAUAUUGGAAGGUAAAAUGAAGGCCAUGAACAAAGUCAAGAAGCCAUAAACAGAAG